CAACUUGGUAUCAAGUGCUCUCUAGUUCUCCUUUUGUUAAUCUCUGCACAUAGGAAUAAAUGUCUCAGUAAUGCCAAAUCCUGUGUAAGCAGGGACGCCACUGCUCCCAUCCUGGUUAAAAAGACUAGUCUCCCUCAGCCCAGAACAGUUGCUUUUCUUCAAAAUAUACUUUGUCUUCACCUGAAGCACCAGAUUCCGAUUCCUCCAAGAGAAAGGACAAUAAUCUCUAAGGCACUGGUGCUCUUGAAAGAGUAGCUCGUUUGUUUGAGAUAUAUGAUGUAUAUACCAUUGCUACUACUUUUUCAAUUUUACUCAGGUUGGGACUUCACUUAAUCUACUGAAUACUGAAGACAAGGCAGUGCCCCAGUGGAUCAGUUUAUCUAAUCUCUGGAAUGAGAAAGAUCAUCUCCAUGGAAGAAAAACUUUGUGGGCAGAGAGAGGGUAAGAAGGAACAAGGAUUUUUCAGACAUGAUGGCAGACAAUCCUUUCCUUGGAGAGUCAGAUGCAACUGGGUGGAUUAUUUGAGGCCUGAAAAAAACAAAAGAAAAUCAUGUACUAAGAACAAAUCUGACAGAAAGGACUUGACCUAAAAGGCCACCAUAGGGAGAGUACAGAUUUUUCUAAAAAAUCCUAAAUUUUUUUCUGUCUCAUUCUGCUCUUAAAAUGUUCUUUCCUUCUAGUGCUUACAAAUUCCUACGUAGUCUAUGAAAUCCAUGGUUUUGGAAAGUACGGUUGUAAACUUACAAAAAGCCUUUCUAUAUUUAUGAAGCUCACCAUUUCAAAUUUGCAAGCAGAUCCCCCUCAAAAUAUUGACCAACUUGGAAAACUGACAGAACAAACAUUCAGCCAUACUUGACCAUCCAGGAAACUACCGAAAAGGAAACGUAUAUAGAUGGCAUAUAAACAAGAUUCAUACUAUCUAAAAGUUAUUUCUGUUUUAGCAGUGUAAGAUUUUAGCUAGUUUCAGAGGAAAAAACCCCAAAAUGACUGAUCUGUAAGCAUUUCAGACAGUAAUAUAAAGUAUUCAAUACUUGAAGUUCCUGGUGAAAAUUGUGGAGGUCCUGUGCCCUCAGGCACAAAUAUGUAUAAUCUCACAAAGCUAAACUCAAGUGGACUAUAUUCCAAAGCCUUCACGAAUGAAACAUAUGCAUAAUUCUCACAUUAAUGAUGACUUAACAUUGGAAAAAGAAACCUUUCUAUCACUACAAGUAUUGGGUGAGCAGACAACAAACACUGGAAAAAUUACUGAGAUCUUCAUUUUAUGAUUGGGUUCAGCUGAAAGAACUAGUCACUAGUUACAGCAUGGACUGGAUAACCUCCUCUUUUUUCCUUCCAGAGUGACUUUGACCUUAGGAUAGAGGGGUUAAAUGGUAAAAAACAGUGGUUAGCCACAGACUUAAGAUCAAAACACAGACCAAGUGUUCACACCUGGUUAAAACUAAUUGAAGAGAAAGUAUACACCAUCAAUAAUUUUACAAAGGCAUAAUGGUAUGAUGUAAUUCGGAACUGAUUACAAAUAUUUUCAUCAAAAUUCUGUUUAAUAUUUAAUAAAAUAUAAUUAUUGAAUUUAAAUGUAUAAGAGAUGUUAUUAAUAUUAAGGAAUAAAAAUAUAUUACAAUUUGCAAUAUGCGAUAAUACAUUAAAAUAUUUGAAGAAGCUUACUUCUGGAUAAAAGCAGGAUUUUAUUUCAAUAGUAAAAAAAUAAAUCAGGGGGUCUUCAGCUACAUGAUGCAGGUAUCAAAAACUCAAAGAAAAUUUCUUUGUUGAGUUCCCACUCUCCAGACAGUAUGCUUUUCUCUCCAGUGACACAAAGGCAUGUUUACAUUAAUCUAAUAUAUAAGUGCCAUUCGGAAAAGUGUUGGGAAUUAUAUAGGGAAGUUAAAUAUCUGCUCUAUUUUCACACUUCCCAUCAGUAUUUCAGUCACUCCAAGAUUUUGGGAUGAUGCACCUUAGGAAGGUUUAGGCAGCUCUGACAAAAAAAAAAAAAGUAGACUAAAAGAUGUCUGCCAACUGUUAAGGGGAGAUUGGGAGUGGUGGUCACUGGAACAGAACUACCUUGCUCAUGGAAAUGUGAUCUAAACUUAUUUGAUUAACAGGGUGGUAUAUGUGGGUGGAUAACAAUUUCUUUCCUCAAAAACAAAUGUCCACAGAAGCCAGCUUACUCUAGAUCAGCAUAAGACCCAGAAGCAUAUGGCACUUGCUCCUUCCUCUCAGUUGAUGUGUCAGGUCCAUAGAUGGAAAAACAAUUUUGCAGUCUCCAGCUUCCACUUGUUGGAUGUCCACCUAUAGUGUCUCCCUAAAAGUCUGUUGUUCAAAAAUUUAUGACAUUAGUUUGUUGGCAUUAGUUGUCUACUCCUUUACUAAGCACAUACCAUCAGGAUGUCCUUUUGAUCAUUCUUCUUCAACAUGUGAUGAACAUCAGAAAAAUCUCUCAGUUAAAACUUUAAAUGUUGAUAAUCAAAAUUAGCUAUAUAAAAGAUAGUUGCCAGAUUUUCAGAGGUUUCAGAGGGCUUUUAGGCCUCAUUAUCAUUAAUUGGGUCAGAAUUGCACAGUACUUGUGAAAAGUCAGGCUGCACAAUGAAGUGACAGAAUAUGGCCUCAAUUUCCUAAUUUUAGACACAGCAAUAUGGCAAACUAUGCCUGUAAGAAUUUCUGACAGUUCAUAGGUGCAAUUCAUAGAGUUGUUCUACAGUUCUAAGGUCACUAUGGAAUGUUGUACAUUUAAGUUUGCUUAGAUUAUUUACUCUAUUAGUGUCUUAUGGUAUUAAUCCUAGUCAGUGCCAUACAGACAGAAUUGAUGACUACUUAUGAGGUCAUAACUGCAACAUUGCCAGUUGAUAAAGGUUAGAAGCAUUAGAGCUUAUUUUUCCUGUAGGACACAGCAUGCUAGAAUUUAAUUGUAAUCUUGCUUCAUUACCCAUCACAUUCCCUAUUAAAUAGCACAAUAAUUGUCUUUAUGUCUUUAUUUCUCACAUCCUAAAUUAUUGCCAUUUGGGAUCAUAAAAAAUCAUUCCUAUAUAGUUGAAUGCAUUACUUUACACUGAAAAUUAUUUUUUUCUAAUUACUUAGGAAUUUAUAGUUAGGAUCCCGAUUGAAGGACUGUCAACCUUACUUCAGGGAUUUUUAUAGCAAUUUGAGGAGAUUUAACUGUAUAUUAUAUUUCACCCCCAAAAAAGGAACAGCUGGCCUAUUUAUGUACAUCAGCAAAUGUCAGCUCCUUUAGAAAAUUAAGAGCUUACUGCAUCAUUAUCAUCCCCAAAAUAACCAGUAGCUAGUAGAGACAGAAUUUCAUGUUUUCUACUGCUUGGAGUAGGUCUUUUCCACUUUAUCAACAUUAAGAAGUAUUGUCAUUAUUUUUAAUAGUAAUAAUAUUCAUUAGAUUAACAAGAACCUGUCUUAGAGUACUGGAAUGAGUGUCAAGCUAGACUUCAUUGCCAAAUCCAAAUAGCUUCUGUCAAAGUAAGUGCACUUGUGUCUGAAGAGGAGCAUGUCUACUUCCUUAAGGUUUAUUUUGUUGCCAGAGGUGUUGAUUUAAAUUAAUUGCUCUGUUUAGACAAUUAGCUUUGCAACUUUUUUACAGGGAAAAGGGUUUACGGGUGACUCCAAUUAAAAGUCUUUGCAUCACAUAAUUACACUUAAAACAUUGUAAGCAUUUUUAUCACUAAAUAUAUGAUCCAUAAAUGGGUCACUUAUUAUUGUUUCACCUGCUCAUUACACAAGAAAUUUCAAACCAGCUGGACUUUCCCCUGGUUGUGACUUAAGGCACUAGGCACCUCUAUACAAUUUCACCUUAGACCUGAAAGACUUGUUGCUUCUAAUAGACUCAUUUCAAUGAAAAAUGUGACAUGUCCAUCUAUAACUUAAAUUUAGCUUUUAUGCUUAUGAACUAGAACUCUGGUUUUUGUAUGUUGGUUUGUUUAGGUUUUUUUUAACCACUACUGUUAACAUUUUAAAUUUUUUUUUAAAAACCCAAACUGAAGAUUACUUGCAUAUAAAGUUUGGCAUAUACAGAAUAGCAGUAAUAAAAUUUCAUUUUGUGUCAUAUUUCUAAUUUGUACUUUCAACAAGAAUUUUGCUACUUAAAAUAAUGAACAGUCAUGUGAUUUUGGUAUUUAGCUAUUCGCUUAUAUUCUGCUAAACAACAUGAAGAAAAAAAUGUGGCCUUAUUA